UUUCGCAAUGCCCGAAAGGGUGACGAUGCGACGCCGCGUGGAGGAUGAAGGCCUUCGGGUUGUAAACUCCUGUCAGGGCAACAGAAGGGAAGGGGGGGAAACUUCCCGACCUUGACUGAGCCCAAAGGAAGCCCCAGCUAACUCCGUGCCAGCAGCUGCGGUGAGACGGAGAGGGCGAGCGUUGUUCGGAAUUACUGGGCGUAAAGGGCACGUAGGCGGGUCCGUAUGUCAGGGGUGAAAGCCCCCGGCCCAACCGGGGAACGGCCUCUGAAACUGCGGACCUUGAGUGAAGCAGAGGGGAGUGGAACUCUCGGUGGAGCGGUGAAAUGCGUUGAUAUCGAGGGGAACACCAGCGGCGAAGGCGACUCCCUAUGCUUCUACUGACGCUGAGGUGCGAAAGCCAGGGGAGCGAACGGGAUUAGAUACCCCGGUAGUCCUGGCCCUAAACGGUGGGCACUAAGUAGAGGGGUUUUA
rnacentral:rRNA from 1 species